rnacentral:lncRNA from 1 species
AUUUCAUUAUGGAGUUCGGUUCCUCUCCACGCCUAUAUUUCUUUUCCAGUCUUUAUCCAGCAUCCUGCUAACAGGCUGACCUGCACAACAACCAGAGAGGAUGGGCCCCUGGCUGCUGUCCUGGGAGGCUUCUCCUUUUCUCUAAUCCUUUCUGACAAAAAGUGACCGGUUAUACAGAAAAGGUUGAUGAUGAACAGAAGAGGUGAAUCCAUUAUUUUGCAAAUGCCUGGGAGGAUAUGAAGACUCAAGGACCUCAGAUCCUUCUUGGAAGGAGGUAGAAGAAUUACUCUUAAAUAAGUUAAAUCAUCUCACA